GGGGAAUAUUGCACAAUGGGCGAAAGCCUGAUGCAGCAACGCCGCGUGAGUGAUGAAGGCCUUCGGGUUGUAAAGCUCUGUCUUCUGGGACGAUAAUGACGGUACCAGAGGAGGAAGCCACGGCUAACUACGUGCCAGCAGCCGCGGUAAUACGUAGGUGGCAAGCGUUGUCCGGAAUUACUGGGCGUAAAGGAUGCGUAGGCGGAUAUUUAAGUCAGAUGUGAAAUCCCCGGGCUUAACUUGGGGGCUGCAUUUGAAACUGGGUAUCUAGAGUGCAGGAGAGGUCAGUGGAAUUCCUAGUGUAGCGGUGAAAUGCGUAGAGAUUAGGAAGAACACCAGUGGCGAAGGCGGCUUUCUGGACUGUAACUGACACUGAGGCAUGAAAGCGUGGGGAGCAAACA
rnacentral:rRNA from 1 species